GAUGAACGCUGGCGGCGUGCCUAAUACAUGCAAGUCGAGCGAACAGACGAGGAGCUUGCUCCUCUGACGUUAGCGGCGGACGGGUGAGUAACACGUGGAUAACCUACCUAUAAGACUGGGAUAACUUCGGGAAACCGGAGCUAAUACCGGAUAAUAUAUUGAACCGCAUGGUUCAAUAGUGAAAGACGGUUUUGCUGUCACUUAUAGAUGGAUCCGCGCCGCAUUAGCUAGUUGGUAAGGUAACGGCUUACCAAGGCAACGAUGCGUAGCCGACCUGAGAGGGUGAUCGGCCACACUGGAACUGAGACACGGUCCAGACUCCUACGGGAGGCAGCAGUAGGGAAUCCUCCGCAAUGGGCGAAAGCUUGACGGAGCAACGCCGCGUGAGUGAUGAAGGUCUGCGGAUCGUAAAACUCUGUUAUUAGGGAAGAACAAAUGUGUAAGUAACGAUGCACGUCUUGACGGUACCUAAUCAGAAAGCCACGGCGAACUACGG
rnacentral:rRNA from 1 species